AGCCCUGAGGUGUUUGCACGUCAGAUUGCAAAUCUGAAGGUGCGGGUUAGUCUCCCGCUGGGGCUUUCCCC
rnacentral:tRNA from 1 species